rnacentral:lncRNA from 1 species
CAUCUCCAAGGGUUUACCAUGUUUUCUGUAUUUAUCUGAGUCUCUUUCAGAAGCAAUGCUUCUCUGAAGUUGUCAUCUCCAAUGUCUUUCAUUUUCAAGUCCCUUUCCUACAUAGGCAUAGAUGUAAAACAGCAAGACCCACAUUUUUAAGCAGUUAAUGAUAGUUUUUGUCUUUUUGAGAGUGAUUUUUUUUUCUGCAUUUCAUCCCAAGUAGUCUACUCUCUUCACCCCUUUUCAUGGAAUUUCUCCAGCUACCUGAUUCUAUUCUCUGCAUUCAUAAAUAUGUAGUAAAAGUGGAGCUCUAAGGAAAUUUGAAAAUUGGCACUAUUUAUUAUGGGUAAUUUGAAGUUUGUAGUAUUUUCAGGUAAUGAUAAAUGUAUAGGUAAUGUUUCAUUUAUUCCCUUCUGUUGCUCUUAUAGUUCUGUAUGGAGGUUUGAUUCCAGUGGUGAUAAUUAUCCGCAAUAGAGAAUAUUUUUCCAUUUAACAAAGUGAUUGUAUUUUCUAUUUUUCCUAUGUCUUGCCAUAUUUAUUUAUCAAAGUAGUGAGUACUUAGUAGAUACUCAAUGAAUGAAUUGAUUUAAGAAAAUCGUAAUAUUAAAAAUCAUUUCUACUGUUUCAUUGAUUUGGAUACAAGUGAUAGUGGCUUUAGUAAACAUCCUCAUUUCAGAACCAAUCACUUCUCAUGACAGCCACUCUUAAUUGGAAAAGCAAUUGCGAUUUUGAGUCUGGUGAACUGAAACGUUUCCUUUCUUUACCUUGGUCUUGAAUCUUGGUUAUUGACAAGGGAAAAUGUUAACUGACAUGUUGCAAUGCUGCAGCAAUAGCUAUCUUUAAAAAGAAAUAGCUUUCCUAUACUCAGUACUAAGAGAAGAGUACAAGGGUAAAAGACUUUAACCCAUAGAUAAACUCUAGACAUUGGUGGAGCACAGGGGAGGGCAUAUGGAGGAUUCAUUAUGAACAGGAAAGGAGAAGAAAACUGGGUAAUGUCACUGUCUAACAAGAGAAAUUUUCCCUUCUGAAUUACUGGAGAGAAUUCGGUAAUAUAUGUGCCUUGGGUAGAGAAUUGAUGAAUGAAAGAUCUCAUAUGGUCCAUGGCUUCCAAGAAGACAAGUAAUAAAGACAUCACAAAGAAGAGCCAGCAGGGAAGUGGAACUGGCUCUGGCGGAUUAGAGAAAUGAGGACUUCACUGAAAAGAAGCUGAAGGGAAUACUCCUGGGUCAUUUCACAGAUUCAUUGAGUGAUAUGGAGUCUUAGAAAUCUGUGUGGUUAAACACAGAAUCAAAUGUUUCCCAAGGCCUUGAAUGUCUUCUCUGGAGAAAGAUUAUGGUGUCAAGGUUUGUGAGAUAAAUUGGGUUUUCCUGAUGAGGUCAUCUAGGAAUACUUCAGGUCUCUAUGCAUUUUGCCCAAGUAAUGUUUGACAUGAAUAUCAUACAAUAUUUUCUGUUAAUUACAUUUCUCAACAUAACAAUGUGGUAAGAGCGCUUGUAUUUUAUGAAAUCUCAGGAGUAAUGAAGAGGGAGGAUGUGCCAUCCGGCUAUAUUUCAUGAAACUAAUUGCCUGAGGGAAUUCAGGAAUAUUUGUGCAGAUGAAUGCACUAUACAGGUAAUAAGCUCUUAUAAAAGAUGAAGUGUUCUAAUUACAAAGCAAUUAUUAUAAUGCAUGACAAUUUUAAAUUGCUAUUCUUAUUGUGUGGCUGUUAAGUUUUAUUGGAAAGCAAAACAAAUUUUUAUUUAUCACUGUUUAUUCUUAAUUCACUCGGGACAGGUGACUUUUGAUUUCAAAUACUGGUCAGAAAUAAUUUUUAUUUGUUUAAAAAUUAAACUAUUUUAGGCCUUUGAUUUCAAAUACUGUUCAUAAAUAGUUUUUAUUUGUUUAAAAAUUAAACUAUUCUGAAUGUAUUUUCACCUUUGGUUUUGAAAUUAUAGGAUCUGAAUGAGUUAAUAGAAGUUACUUCGAUUAUGCACUGUUUUUGCUUAACUUUCUUUCCAUGCUUAGGGACAUAUAGUGUUAAUCAUUUAUUGUAUGACUUCAAAAGUGUUUAUGAAAUGUUUCUUUCAACUUUUAUAGAAAAAAAGGUAACCGUUCACAAAAACCACAUACUAUUGCCUUCUGGUUACUUUUGUUACCACAAUUUUUUUACUUACCAUUUAAAACCAAAAAGUAAAGUCCACAGAAAUCCAAAGGAUGAGAAAUAAAUGCUACCUUUUGUAAUUGUAAGAUUAUCUUUUCUCUCUCUCUCUGUGUGUGUGUGUGUGUGUGUGUCUGUGUCUGUGUGUGUGUGUGUGUGUCUGUGUGUGUCUGUGUGUGUUGGAGGGGGCAAUGAGGAAUACAAGGACUUUUAAGCAAUAUCUGCUAAAACAACCCAAUUAAGUCACUUAGUGAAACAGCCAAUUUUCUGUAGGAAUAGAGCACUUGGGAGUAAAUUAACAGAAGGAAGAUAAUUUAUUUUAAAAAUAGUAGCUGUGGAGUUCCCGUCGUGGCACAGUGGUUAACGAAUCCAACUAGGAACCAUGAGGUUGCGGGUUCGGUCCCUGCACUUGCUCAGUGGGUUAACGACCCAGUGUUGCUGUGAGCUGUGGUGUAGGUCACAGACGUGGCUCAGAUCCCGCGUUGCUGUGGCUCUGGUGUAGGCUGGUGGCUACAGCUCCGAUUAGACCCCUAGCCUGGGAAUCUCCAUAUGCUGUGGGAGCGGCCCAAAAAAUAGCAAAAAGACAAACAAACAAAAAUACUAAUUGCUACCCCAUUUUUCCCUUGCAUGUAGAAACCACAAGGCGGCUCCCUUGCUUGCCUGCCUUGAUGGGGGUGGCCAUUUUACCUAAAGGUGACCACUGAACAUAAAGAGGAGGCUUUUGGGGAGCUUAUGUGAAAUACCUUUCUCUCUGAUAAAGACAGAGAGACAUAUGCAGGAAUUCCUGUGCCACUGGCUUUCCUUGACCCAUCUCCAGCACAAUUCUUUCCUACUGUCUUGGAGGUUUUAUGGGAAUAUGAUGCUUGGAAUGAUUACAGCCAUCAUGCAGCUAUGCAGGGAACCAUGACACACAGAGAACAGCAGAGAGAAACACACAUGGAAGAGUCUGGAUCUUUGAUGUUGGUGAGUCACUGAUUCAACCUUGAGACCACCUACCUCUGGACUUCUAUUAUCCAAGUCACUUUCAGUGGCACAUUUUAUUAUAUUCAGACAAACACAAUUUGAUUCAGUAGGCUAUCCAGCUUUCCACAUUAUACAACACUGAACUGGCCCAAAAGCUAACCUGACGAUAGCUGCAGAUAGUUAUCUAAGAGAUCUGUAGAGUCACAACUCUUUUUUGCAGGAGAAUUCUCUACAAUCAUAAUUCCAGAAUCCUGUUCUCAACACCUCUUCUAUGUUGCACUUCUUUCAUGCCUCGUGAAAAGCCUUCAAAUCACAUUUAAUUGAUAACUGAAUUCUGUGUUUUCCUUACUCUUCCUGUUUCAGCACUUUCACAAAAAGAAAUCUGCAAACUAGUUUGCUUUUUAACCUUCUGCCAGAGUCUGUACUCCUUUGCCAUUUCUCCCACCUACACUGGAACCAGGGAUGUUCUUUGCCUAAGAACGUACCAAGCGGUCUGUAUUUAGUGUGACUUCCUCACUUACCACUUUCCAAUAUGUGCCUGCGCUCUGCUUAGGCAUCACAUAUUUUGGUUUUGUUAUUAUUUUAAUGUACACACAGGAAAUUUUUUAGGAUCUAACUCCCAGAUAGGUGGGAGUGAGUGUGUUGUCCCUAAUGUGAUACAGCAUUUCGUAUAUAACAUACAUACCAACUCAAACAUGUAGAACAGAAUAACCACACUUAUAACUCUCCCAGGAAACCUGGAGUAUGCGUUUGCAUGACUAUACUUAGCAACCUGCAAAGGGAUGAUUAAUAACUAGUUGACUGAUAACUCUGUAUUUGCUGACUGUUUACUCUUUUCUUUCUUGUCAAAAAUAUUUAUUAAAAUGUUUAAAAGCAAUAUAUGCUUAUAUAGAAAAUCUAC